rnacentral:rRNA from 1 species
CAGUCGCCGCGGGAACACGUAGGUGGCAAGCGUUGUCCGGAAUUAUUGGGCGUAAAGGGCUCGCAGGCGGUUUCUUAAGUCUGAUGUGAAAGCCCCCGGCUCAACCGGGGAGGGUCAUUGGAAACUGGGAAACUUGAGUGCAGAAGAGGAGAGUGGAAUCCCACGUGUAGCGGUGAAAUGCGUAGAGAUGUGGAGGAACACCAGUGGCGAAGGCGACUCUCUGGUCUGUAACUGACGCUGAGGAGCGAAAGCGUGGGGAGCGAACAGGAUUAGAUACCCGCGAGUCCCUGUCUCUUAUACA